rnacentral:lncRNA from 1 species
AAUGAAUUUUACAUGGAAAAUAUUAAAAGACACAUAAUUAAUUCGUGGCUCUUGAAAACUUCCAAAGAUAUUUGAUUAGUUCAAAAUUUGGAUAUGUAUAUAUAGAACAGUUCCUUCUUUGAAUAAUAUAGACUUUCAGAAAUUAUUGUCUAUAAUUAGCAUUGAUUAAAAUGUAAACAAUUGUCCGUUUUCGGUGUCGGCAAUUUCUGUCACCAUUGUCAAUCCGAUUAUGUGACACUGCAUCCUUGCCUGUAAGCGUCCUGGCUGUAUCUGGAGAAUACAAGAUAAAUUCAAAACUUCACAUCUUUAGAAUUUUUCAAGAGGAUUCGGAGCAUGGAUUACCAACGCUCUGGAUUCUCUAGCUUCGCUAAUUGAGAAACAGUGUUUUGUAAAACUAAAAUAACGAUUUAUUAUACAGAAUACGUUAGUUUUAACGGGGUUAUAACAGGAUAGUUUUCUUUUCUCAAUCUUUUUUACCAAGCGAUCACAUAAAUUUUUUUGUAAUGGUACCAAGACCCAAAUAUCAGAUCACCCUAAAAGUGAUGUCGAUUUUUAUACUGUACUUGUUCAAACGUAUCCGAACUUGUCCAAACAUGAAUUUUUAAAGCUUUACAAAUACAGCCAAGCUUACACAACGUUGGAAGUACGUUAUUGAUUCAAAUGAAUCUUUUGUAUCCUUUCAAAAUGUUAAAAUCGACAUUAUUUUUGAGAUGCCUUAACCCUUAAGAAAUCUUUUGAGAUAUCAUUUCACGACUAUUAAAAAUUUAACGCGAUCCAGAUGCUGAGAAAUACUGAUAUAUAACAUACAAAAACAUAGCAUAUGAUAUAAAUUUCAUAUAAUGAAAAAAUAAGAGUAAAUGUGAAAAACUAAUUUCAAAAAGUCUCAACCUACCUGAAGAGACUGAGCGGUUUUCUACGAAUGCAGCAGGACAUCAGCGAGAGGAUGAGAAUUCGCCACAUUCACACUAAUUCCAUCCGAAACGUUAUUAUUAGCCAUCGGACACUCGGUCAACUGUUGCUAGUCUCUUGGCAUUCGACGAUCGUUACUAGUCUCUUCAACAGUGACCUGACUGUUUUUAUCUAUCUCCUCGACGGCGACAUUUAGGCGAUAGUUACGGUGAAUCGUAUUGACCGAAACUUGGAGACAUCGAGCGGUAAUCCUAAUGAUUGUCUUCCUUUCAUUGUUCCUUGUUUCGUUCUGUCGUGGAGAGUGUCGCCACACAUCCUUCUAUCUCUCUCCCUGCUGAAAAGUUUUUUAAAAAAUAUGUUCUUUUAAUAAGAUGUUGCUAUUAGGAAGUGAUAUCAAGAUUAUUUUAACAUUAAAUUUGAUGAUUUCUCUAAUUAAUACAUAAUAUAGUUAUGUAUCAUUAAAUACAAUUUAUUAUUUAUGAGUAUUAAAGCGAAACAACAAUUUGAACAAUAAAAUAUAUUCUAUAUAUAUUAUGUUAAUAUACAGUAUAUUAACAUAAUAUAUAUAGAAUAGGUCUAAUAUUGCGCUAAUGAAAGAGUUGGCACACUUCUACAGAAAAAAGAAAAGAGGCAGAGGAUCUCCGGGACUUUACACGAUUAUUUUGAAGAAUUGUUAUUCAUUGUCAAAAGAAAUCAAACAUACGAAUGAAAUCUUUCAUUCCUGUUCUUAACAUUAUCCUCGGAUCCAAAACUCCUAGUCAGUCAGAUGAUCACUUGAUAAGCUACUGCUUUAUCAAGUGAUCAUCCGACCGACAGGACCAGGUUCAAUUCCGGGUCCUAUAGUUCCAGUUUUUCAGAAGAGAUCCGGUUCUGGAUCAUUGAAUCAAGUCCUUAAAUCUUCCGGUUGACUUCAUUAUGGGCCUCUGAUGCGCUCAAAAAAUGGCUGCGCCAGAUAUAGAAUAUCCAAAGUGUGAUAUCGUGGCUUAAUUAACCAACUUAAUCUAACCUACACUUUAAACGUUUUUCAGGAGGGAGCUGAGCCUGAUCUGUUGAAUACCAUUCUUUCUUUGCUGACGUGGCUCUAUCAUAAGUAGGGACAGUCCGUUAUGGGCAUUGGACUGUCCCACCGCUUAAUAAUCUCCGCUUAGAAAGCGAUGCAAAACAACCAAAGAAAAACAAUUAAUAAUAUAUUUUGGAGACAUAUAGAAAUCUUUUUACAGCAUUUUCUCAUUAGUAGAAAAAAUGGAAAACCAUUCCAAAAUCGAAAAGUUUGUCAUACGAAUGGAACAGGAGAGUUUCUUAUAGGAGUAGAUGAGAAUAAGAAAGAUGAGGAUAUAAUAGCUAACUUAGCAUCCCUCCUGAAAAUUCUUAGUGGGAUUUAACAAUCGAUCCCACAUUCUCCAGAUAAGAAGCUAGCAUUCUUUCAAGCGGCAUUCAGCCACGUGAGAGUGUUAUCAGUUAGUAAAAAAUUGUUCCUGUCAAGUUGGUCGGGCAUUCUUGUAAAAGAAUAGCGGAUUUCUAUCGACUGAGAUAAAAAGAAGAAAAGCAAUAUAUUUUACCGAGUUUCGUUAUUUUCGAACUAUUUUACUUCUUUUAUUAAUUGGAUUUGACGAUCGAAAUUCGGAAAUGUGUAAUCUCUGGAAUAGUUUUCACGAAUCGAAUUAAGUUUGUCAAGAUACUCAAAAUUUUUUAUUAAUAGUUUGCCUUUCAGAGAAAUUUUUGAUGAAUUAUAUUCUUAUAGUUAAAGGUCCGUGUCUGGUUCGUUGAUCCCCGUCCUUUGCAAUCUGACUAAUCUCUCCACGACAGUAAACAAGACUUCGAUUUGCUUCGCUACUGAUGGGGGGGAGAAAUGUGUUAAAAAUAUUCCUAGCAAUGCAAUAGCGAUGAACAAAUCAAAUUAUUAUUGUUUUUAUUCUGGAGCGUAAUAUUCUAGAUUCUUUGUUGAUGAGUUUUUCUAUCUUCAUCCUGAAUUCUGCUUUUUGUUUUAAUACCCUAUAAAAAACAGUACAUUUUGUAACCAGCAAUAGAUUGAGUUUUAAAAGAGUUU